rnacentral:rRNA from 1 species
AACGGACGCUGGCGGCAUGCCUAACACAUGCAAGUCGAACGAGACCUUCGGGUCUAGUGGCGCACGGGUGCGUAACGCGUGGGAACCUGCCCUUAGGUUCGGAAUAACUCCCCGAAAGGGGUGCUAAUACCGGAUAAUGUCUUCGGACCAAAGAUUUAUCGCCUUUGGAUGGGCCCGCGUUGGAUUAGCUAGUUGGUAGGGUAAAAGCCUACCAAGGCGACGAUCCAUAGCUGGUCUGAGAGGAUGAUCAGCCACACUGGGACUGAGACACGGCCCAGACUCCUACGGGAGGCAGCAGUGGGGAAUAUUGGACAAUGGGCGAAAGCCUGAUCCAGCAAUGCCGCGUGAGUGAUGAAGGCCUUAGGGUUGUAAAGCUCUUUUACCCGGGAUGAUAAUGACAGUACCGGGAGAAUAAGCUCCGGCCAACUCCGUG